rnacentral:rRNA from 1 species
GUGGGGAAUAUUGGGCAAUGGGCGAAAGCCUGACCCAGCAACGCCGCGUGAAGGGAGAAGGUCUUCGGAUCGUAAACUUCUAUCCUUGGUGAAGAUAAUGACGGUAGCCGAGAAGGAAGCCCCGGCUAACUACGUGCCAGCAGCCGCGGUAAUACGUAGGGGGCAAGCGUUGUCCGGAAUGAUUGGGCGUAAAGGGCGCGUAGGCGGCCUGGUAAGUCUGGAGUGAAAGUCCUGCUUUUAAGGUGGGAAUUGCUUUGGAUACUGUCGGGCUUGAGUGCAGGAGAGGUAAGUGGAAUUCCCGGUGUAGCGGUGAAAUGCGUAGAGAUCGGGAGGAACACCAGUGGCGAAGGCGACUUACUGGACUGUAACUGACGCUGAGGCGCGAAAGUGUGGGGAGCAAACAGGAUUAGAAACCCCUGUAGUCC